UACGUAGGUGGCAAGCGUUAUCCGGAAUUAUUGGGCGUAAAGCGCGCGCAGGCGGUUUCUUAAGUCUGAUGUGAAAGCCCACGGCUCAACCGUGGAGGGUCAUUGGAAACUGGGGAACUUGAGUGCAGAAGAGAAAAAGCGGAAUUCCACGUGUAGCGGUGAAAUGCGUAGAGAUGUGGAGGAACACCAGUGGCGAAGGCGGCUUUUUUGGUCUGUAACUGACGCUGAGGCGCGAAAGCGUGGG
rnacentral:rRNA from 1 species